CUGUGCACAGACGCAGGUAGAUGGUUUGCCCAGCAGGGACCCCGUGGCCACAGUCCCACGCUGCCGGUUUCAGCAGCCUUGUGACUGGUCUGCUUCCGCUUCCUUCCUGCCCUUCGGUUCCCGGGACGGCAGCCACUGUGACACCGCUUUGCUCGAGAUGCCGCGGUGGCCGCCCUUCCUGCUCAGGUGUCCUGUGUCCGGCCCCACUGCUGCCCUCUCCUCCACCAGCGCGCCCUCCUCACACUGUGUGCGUCCGGGUGGGCCUGGCUGUUCCCUGAGAGACCAAGCCUCGUCCGCCCCAGGGCCUCUGUUCUUGCCGGUCCCUCUGCCUUGAGGACACCCUUCCCUGGGAACGUCCGCAUAGCCUGCUCCCUCUUGUCCGAACGUCCUCUUCUUGGGUCUUGGGCUACGUCAGGAGCAGCCACUCCCCCACGCACCCCUCUCUCACCCUCCUGGGUGUUCCCCAGGCCCUCGUCACCGUCUGGAGCGACUGCUUACCGUCCGUCCGCGCCGCUGGAAUGCAAGCUUCCGGAGCAGGGGCUUCGGCAGCUGCGUUCCGGUACCUGGAAGGGAAAUGGGCACGUGACUGUUAGGCUUCAAAUAAGGAUCGACGAAUGAGUGGUGGCCCUUGGUUCGCUGGAGUGAAACCCUAAAAUGCACUCCUUUUCCAUCCAGAGCCGUGCAGCCAGCACCGGUCAGUUUCAGAACACUUUUGCGAACCCAAACAAGCCCCACGCCGCUUUGUGGUCACCCCAGUCCUCCAGCCCCAGGCAGCCGCUGGUCUGCUCUCUGUGUGUGCACAUCGGCCUGUUGGGGACGUUUCAUGUGAGGCAGCUCUAGAAGCCGGUCUGCGGGCUUCUGGCGUCUUCCACGUGCUGUAGCGCUGCCAGGCUCACCGGUGCUGCGGCGAAUGUUGGAAAUCCACAGCUUACUAGAUAAGGGAAAUAAUUGCGGGAGUCUGUGUUUGUUAUCGCCGAAUAAAUGUCCCUCGUGUGAUUACA